GCCAGACUCCUACGGGAGGCAGCAGUGGGGAAUAUUGCACAAUGGGGGAAACCCUGAUGCAGCGACGCCGCGUGAGUGAAGAAGUAUUUCGGUAUGUAAAGCUCUAUCAGCAGGGAAGAAAUAGCGACCUUUGGGUCGCCAGACGGUACCUGACUAAGAAGCCCCGGCUAACUACGUGCCAGCAGCCGCGGUAAUACGUAGGGAGCAAGCGUUAUCCGGAUUUAUUGGGUGUAAAGGGUGCGUAGACGGGAAGGCAAGUUGGUUGUGAAAUCCCUCGGCUUAACUGAGGAACUGCAACCAAAACUAUCUUUCUUGAGUGCUGGAGAGGAAAGUGGAAUUCCUAGUGUAGCGGUGAAAUGCGUAGAUAUUAGGAGGAACACCGGUGGCGAAGGCGGCUUACUGGACUGUAACUGACGUUGAGGCUCGAAAGCGUGGGGAGCAAACAGGAUUAGAUACCCCUGUAA
rnacentral:rRNA from 1 species